GCGCUUGAAUCUACUGAUAUUCUUGCUUUUCUACUGAAACGAAACAACGCCUCCUCUAAAAAGAUGCCUGCCGCGUGCGCCGGAAACCUACGAGACGGUCAUUUGCGGAAUCGCCAGUUCACGGGAUUGGCCAGUCGUUUCAGCGGGUGCAAGAGAGAAAAUCUGGGGGCGUUUGCGCCUUAAAUUUCUCCCUUUACCUAGGUACCACGGAGGAGCAGUUUCUUUGCUCGUUCUGUCCCUAGGCGUGCCUUGGCUUGGCGGCAUUUUGCCAUGUGUCGGCUGGCGAUCCGUGCGUCGUGUACAAGUUUUCCUCGUGCGUCUCCUUGGGUGUUGCUGGCACAGUGCACUGGCGCGAACGAUUGUUGUCGUUUGGUCAGUGGUCUCCCGUGAAGAACCUGUCACCACAAAAGUGAAUUGACGUCAGUGCAAAGAUUUAAAGGAACUUGCAUGGCUUGUGUACAGGAUACAACAUUUCUUGGGAGUGUUCUCAGCCUAGGUUGUGAAAGACUGCUUUAAACUCAUGGGGACAACUGAGAGUGACAAGAGGCAUUAUUUUGUUGAGACUUUUCAAUCAUCAUGAUGUCGAUGGCACUGUCUACAAAAAUCACCACUGGAUUGCCCCUCUUCAGCGGGCAAGGCAGCAGCAGCACCAAUAGAUCGUGCUGUCGAGGACCGGAUUCGUCGACGCAGGGUCUGAGCAUGCGCUGCAUCAGGCCUAUCUACUGCUACCUCUGGCUGUCUGCCCUGCUGGCUUCAUCGGACGAAACAAGUCGCAGGAAGCUGUACCACGUGCACUGCACUGGGACCACCUGACCAGCACGGUGACGUCGACAGAGACACCAUGGCACCCGGAUAAAAGCAGCAGCCUUUUCGACGUUACCUUCAGUGGACUUGGAAGCACUGAACGAGUACGGAUGCUGAUCGAAUUUUUUCUGAUCGCACAGCGGUGGCAGCGAAACCCAGCCAAUAUGUCGAUGGCGUCCACGCUACUACCGCCCCCGAAGCCUAUGGAUCCGUCGCACGACCCUUGGAUUGCCUGGAAAACUUGGAAAAGUGAGUUUCUGCUGUUUUCCAUUGUUACGCAAUUGAACAAGCAGCCAAAAGACGUUCAAGCAGCCACGUUGCUAGUUACCAUAGGCGAAGAGGCUAGGAAGUCGUACAGUACCUUCAAGUUCGAUGAAGCGGAAGACAGGAAUGACGUUGAAGUUCUGAUUAAGAAAUUUGAGGAUCAUUACAAGCCUGCAACGAACUUAACAUUCCAAGAAUUCCGUUUCGGUUCAAGGAACCAAAAAGAAGGCGAGAUGUUUAACGAGUGGCUAACAGAACUGCGUGUGUUAGCGAAGAACUGUGAAUUUGGGGCCGCACCAGUGAUCCCGUGAUCUGUUACGUCACGUAGGCUUCACUAUAUAUGUAACUUGCGCAACCGCAAUAAAGUUGUUGUUCGCCCAGCUGCUGGCCUGGCUACAAAUACCAGAGAGGAUCAGGUAAAACUAAAUGAUUCGUUAGCUGCUGUACAAAAUUGGUGCAACAUUUGUGGUGUGACGAAGAAGAUCGGCAGGCUGAAAAGUCCCGUUGCCAUCGCAUGGCACGUACCCAGUUCGUUCGCUGGCUGCGCCCUACCUGCUGGUGCUGAGUUUGUCGCUGCUGCUCUACGAGCCGAAUAAACCCCCUUUACAAUUGGUGGAGGUGCUGGGUACGUGUCACGCGAUGGCAACGGGGCUUUUCAGCCUGCCGAUCUUCUUCGUCACAAUCACCUACUCACGUCUCCGCCAAUCUUGCGGCAUUUUGAUCCCAGCGCACCUACAGAACUUCACACUGACGCCAGUGGUGUCGGCCUUGGUGCCGUGCUCGCACAACGCAAGAACACUAAUGCCGAAUACGUAGUCACCUAUGCCAGUCGUGCCCUCACGAAACCUGAGGCCAAUUACUCAGUAACAGAAAAAGAGUGCCUGGCUAUCGUAUGGGCUCUUCAAAAAUUUCGUCCAUAUGUCUACGGUCGAUGCUUUGAUGUGGUGACGGAUUAUCACGCUCUUAGCUGGUUGUCCAACCUAAAAGACCCGUCGGGCCGCCUCGCUUGGUGGGCCCUCCGAAUCCAGGAAUAUGAUAUCCGUGUCGUUUAUCGCUCUUGACGCAAACACGCUGGCGCCGAUGCCCUCUCGCGCUUUCCAGUGACUUCAGACAGCAGCACUUCUACCGACAGACAUGACAUCUCACCACUUGACAUCCUGGACAUGGCAUCGGAGCAACAAAAAGACCCAUGGAUCGUCAUGGUGUUCGACUUUUUGUCAAAUCCUCCGGCAACUUCGGCACCUCGAGCGCUACGCCGACAGGUGCAGCAUUUCACAAUCCAGGAUGGACUUUUAUACCGCCGCAACUACCACAAUGAGGGCUGCAAAUGGCUUUUAGUAGUGCCUCGCCACCUACGACAAGAGUUCUGCUCCGCUUUUCAUUCUGACCCACAGUGUGGUCACGGCGGAGUGUCAAAAACUUGCACACGGCUUUGCCUACAAUAUUAUUAGCGAGGGAUGUACACCUUCGUCCACAAAUAUUUACGCUCCUGCAUUGCCUGCCAGCAAUGCCAAUGUGUCCCGCAUCUCUCCACCACAUCUCUCCAACCACUUCCCUGCCCAGCUCAGCCAUUUGACCGUGUCGGCAUUGAUAUCUAUGGGCCUCUUCCAUCUACUGGCGCGGGCAACCGAUGGAUUGUUGUCGCCGUAGAUCAUUUGACACGGUAUGCUGAAACCGCCGCCUUGCCUGCCGCAUCAGCAAAAAACAUCGCCUCGUUCAUUAUAAACAACUUCGUUCUCCGCCAUGGCACACCAUGUGAACUGUUGAGCGAUCGGGGCUGCGUAUUCCUCUCAGAUGUCCUGCAGUCACUCUUAUCUGAAUGCCAAAUUAUUCACCGCACUACUACUGCUUAUCAUCCACAGACCAAUGGCUUAACAGAACGAUUCAACAGAACUCUUGGUGACAUGCUAUCAAUUUAUGUUGCAUCUGACCACUCCAACUGGGACCUUGUACUUCCGUUCGUCACUUACGCAUAUAACACUGCCUCUCAAGCCACCACCGGAUUCUCACCAUUUUUUCUGCUUUACGGCCGGCCGCCAUCCCUCCAGCACCAUUGAUACAGUUCUCCCGUACCGGCUGGACCCUGCUGAAUGCUCACCUGUUUCUACGGUUGCUCAGCACGCCGAGAAAUGCCACCAACUGGCCCGUUCGUUGACGUCUGCUCAACAGUGCCGCCAAAAAGAAUGCCAUGACCUCAAUCCUCCCCCUCACCCCUUCCCCGUCGACUCACUCGUGUGGCUUUGGGUCCCGCCUGUUGCUGCUCCUGGCUUUUCGUCCAAGCUCCUCCCGAAGUACCACGGGCCCUACCGCGUAGUUGCACAAACAUCACCAAUGAACUACGUGGUCGAACCCGUAUCGCCAUCUUCCGAUCUGCGUCGUCGGGGGCGAGAGACUGUGCACAUUGACCGGCUGAAGCAGUAUUACGAUCCGCCCACCUCUUCCUAGGUUGCCAGGAUGGCUACUCUUCAAUUCCGGGGGGGAUUGUGACGAAGAAGAUCGGCAGGCUGAAAAGCCCCGUUGCCACCGCGUGGCACGUACCCAGUUCGUUCACUGGCUGCGCCCUACCUGCUGGUGCUGAGUUUGUCGCUGCUGCUCUACGAGCCGAAUAAACCCCCCUUACAGGGGGAUGAAACUGAAUGCAUCAAAAACUACCAGUAUCUCCUUCACUCACAAGAAAAAUGCGCUUCAGUUUACAUACACAAUAAACAAUAUAUCACUAAGAAAAUACGAGGAGGUCACAUAUCUCGGGGUCACUCCUACAAUGAAAUUAGAUUGGGAAACUCAUAUAAAUAAUAUGUAUGACAAGGCCCUAGGUAAACUACAUUUCUUGAGAAGAAAAGUUAGAAACACACCUCCUAGUGUUAAAUGCACACAGAACCCUCAUUAGACCCUCUUUAGAGUAUGCUGACAUUAUUUGGGCCCCACACCAGAAGUAUUUAACCGAGAAACUAGAACGCAUAAAGAACUUAGCAUUGAGAUUUAUAUAUUCACAAUAUUCACGUCAAACGAGCAUUACAAACCUGCGCGUCAAGGCUAACGUUCAAUCACUGGCUCAACGUAGAAUGAUUUCCAGAUUAAAAUUUCUAUGCUUACUUUAUCACGGCUCCUAUUGAGUACCACAAGUAACAUACAUUCAAGCGCCAUUCAGACUUUCUGCCUGAACCAACCAUAAUAAAUCAAUACGACACCAUCCCAGCCAUAAUAACACUCGCAAGUACUCUUUAUUCCCACACGCCAUUUCCCAUUGGAACAUACUACCCUCUAGAGCCGUAAAUUGCCCAUCUGCCAACGCAAUUAUUGACAGUAUUGAGAAUCUGGAAUUCGAAUGGUGAUAUUACCUGUAUUUCAUAUGCAGCCUCUGUAGAUGCAUUCUUAUGGUAAACGCUGUUUCGCCUGCUUCCCGGACGGCUCAUUUAAACAGUGUAUAUAUUUAUUGAGUAUGUUCAUUUUUGUGUGUGCUAAUGCUCUUUGUUUUGGAUACACUAGUUUAAGUUUAUUCUUUUUUUUGUACUGUAUUCCAUGUUGUAACCACUCCUGCAUGGGCCCGACGAUGGCCUGCAGUAUUGUAAAAUAAAUAAAUAAAUAAGAAUGCAAAAACAA